UGAUCUUGUUGGAAAGGUUGAAAGAAACAUCCCUGAAGAUGACCCUAGAAAUCCUAUUGUAAGAUAUCUGCUAUGCUUUUUGGUUGAUAUCUCUGUUUUGAAGUUAAUUCUAGUCACAUUUUGCAGGUCAUUGCUGACAAUGUUGGUGAUAAUGUCGGAGAUAUUGCUGGAAUGGGAUCUGAUCUUUUUGGUUCAUAUGCCGAAUCCUCUUGUGCUGCUCUUGUUAUCGUACUAACUUAUUUUGAUCUACCAUCCCAUAACAACUAUUUCUGCUUACUGAUUUCAGUUUUGGCAUUACUUUGGCAGCGUUGCAACUCUAAUAAGAUAAAGUUCAGUGCAGUUUUAGCAGCAGCCGGAUUAAUUGCUUGUCAUGCCUCAAAAAGGUUCCCUGAUGAACAGUGGGAGAAGUAUGCAGUUGUAACUCUCAUGGAUUGCCGGUCUGCUCUUGAUCCCGUGCUUAGCAGCCAUCAUAUCUAAUAAUAGUCAAUGUGAGGCCAGUGAUGUUUAUCGCGAGGCAUAUGAGGAGACACUCGUUUUUACUUUACCUUUAAUUCAUCUAAUGACAUUUUCCUGGUUUUCCACCAUGGAAAUAUUUAACUGUAGUUUCUCUCAUGUAAGUUUAAAUGAAUACAACUAUUGAAUAUAUAGUAUUAUUUGUA